AUACAUUUGGAAAACAUAAAGGUCCCUUUUUGGAUUGUGAAACCCUUGUGUCGCUCCCGACGAACCACCAACCACUUCCGCCACCACUCUCUCCCAAUGAAUCUCUUUUGCAAAAGGUAACAUCUCUUCUUGAGAACCAUGGCCGUCGAAUCUAUAUUUGAAGGUGUCAACUGCAUCUUUUGUGGAAUCUUCUUGUUCAUGGCAAAUCCGGUGUUAAAACAACUAGAUGUGGUGUCAAAACUCACUCGAUCAAGUUCCAAAAAUGAGGGGGUGGAGAAGGUGCAUUUGGGGUGAAAGAUCUCAAUGAAAAUGAUAAUAUUAGAAAGAACAAAGAAGAAAACAAGUAACCACCAUGGCUUUUUAUGUUUUUUAUAUGCCUUUUUUUUGUUCUUUUUUGUGUAUUUCUGUGUGCUUAUACUUAACCCUUGAGUAGUUGUUCAUCCCCUAAAAAAAAUUUAUCUUGCAGCAAUAAAAUAGAAAACAACUUUCCUAUUUCAGCUAACAAAUAUGUUAGAUUUGUCAGUUUCGUACAUUAAGGACAUGUAACAAGAAGUUAAGAUAUUAGAGAAGUAUAAAUCUUCUCAUAACUUCCGAAGAAAAUAAACAUAUUAAACUCCA